rnacentral:rRNA from 1 species
CGGGUCUUGUACACACUGCCCGUCAAGCCAUGGAAGUUGUUUCUACCUGAAUAGGGUGAGCUAACCGCAAGGAGGUAGCCCUACACGGUAGAAAGGGUGACUGGGGUU